ensembl:snoRNA SNORA70 Small nucleolar RNA SNORA70
UAGAAGUAAUGACUAAGCUUCUUUACUGGUGGGUGCCCAGUGUGCAGUGGCUGUGAACAGCAACCUCCUCAGUAGUGUAUGAGGCCUGUUGCUUGUAUGGGCUGCCCUAAAGGGAUCUUGAAGAUACUG